rnacentral:rRNA from 1 species
GGAUCAUUACCGAGUUUACAACUCCCAAACCCAAUGUUGAACGUUACCAAACUGUUGCCUCGGCGGGAUCUCUGCCCCGGGAUGCGUCGCAGCCCCGGACCAAGGCGCCCGCCGGAGGACCAACCAAAACUCUUUUGUAUACCCCCUCGCGGGUUUUUUAUAUCUGAGCCAUCUCGGCGCCUCUGNGUAGGCGUUUCGAAAAUGAAUCAAAACUUUCAACAACGGAUCUCUUGGUUCUGGCAUCGAUGAAGAACGCAGCGAAAUGCGAUAAGUAAUGUGAAUUGCANAAUUCAGUGAAUCAUCGAAUCUUUGAACGCACAUUGCGCCCGCCAGUAUUCUGGCGGGCAUGCCUGUCCGAGNGUCAUUUCAACCCUCGAACCCCUCNCGGGGGGUCGGCGUUGGGGAUCGGCCCUUUAUCGGGGCCGGCCCCGAAAUACAGUGGCGGUCUCGCCGCAGCCUCUCCUGCGCAGUAGUUUGCACACUCGCAUCGAGGAGCGCGGCGCGUCCAUUGCCGUAAAACACCCAACUUUCUGAAAUGU